GUUUGGUCCGAAACAAACAACGUUAGACUUUCUCGGGUUAGGUAGAGCGGUUGGUAACGGAGGUGGUCCUGGAUCCACUCUAGCUGGACCAAGAGGAGGCAGCAUCGAUGCGUUGGCGACAUUUGGGUCGGGAGAGUUUUCAGGAAAUGACAUUGGUAGAAGAACAUCAUAAGUACAGUCAAACUUCGUGUGAUAUCAUUCAUGACAUUAUGACAUAAGAUCGUCAUUAGCUUAGUGGGUGUUGAGUACACGAAUGAAAACUUCCUUUUUGAGAAGGUUUAAAUUUAUAUUACUUUGCAGUUAAUACUUUUUUCUCCGGCUGUGUCAAUCGUAUUGCAGGUCCAUGAUGAUAAUCUUAUUAAUAUGAUGACAGCCCAACAAAUAACAUAUGCUACUGAAUUUAGACACAUAGAGGCCCACGAAUCAAUUGUUAAAUCUAGUAGCUUGAUUUGAUACUAAAUUGUUUAAAAACAUAGAGGCCCACUGCAUGCAUUUUUUUUAAUCUCAAAUCCCCUAUACUAUAUGAAGUGGUUUUGCCACUUGUACUUUGUACAAUCAAUUUCACAAAACAAAUAUGACAUGUCUACUAAAAUUGAUGUCAUGUUUUAUAGUUUAAUAUGACAUUGACAAUUACAUUUAAUAUUAAUUUAUAUUUUUGGUAAACUUUUUAAAAUACGGUAAUAAUUCAUAGAUUACAUUUAAUGUCAACUUAUAUUUUUGAAUUUUUUUUUAGAAUAUGGAAACAACUCAUAAAUCAUCAUUAAAAUAAAUAUAUUCAAAUAUGAUAUUAUAAAUUUCGAAAUAUAAUUUAAUUAUAUAUUUUUAAAUUAUACAAUUUUAUUACUAAAAUUUUCAAAAAUGUAUACAAUUUUUUUAGAAAACUAUAAAAAUUUAAUCGUAAAAUCAUUAUUUAUAAAUAUUGUUUAAUUUUAAUUUUUGGUAAUUAUGCAAUUUUUACAAAUUUAUUUAAUAUAUUUAAUUAAAAUGAAUAGAUAGAAAAAUCUAUCUAAGAUUAUCAUUUCAAAUAUAUACAUGCACAUUCUUAAGUAUAAUUUUUAUGUUUAAUUAAAUCAAAUUUAUAUUAAAAUAUUGAUACGAAAAAAAAAUUGCAAUAUUAAUAAAAUUUUAUUUUAAAAUAUAAUUUAUAUUUAUCUGUUAAUAAUAUUUUAAAUUUUUUUAGAGGAAGACACCUAGUAUAAUUUUUAAUUAACUAAAAAGGGGAUUACAUAAUUGGAUCCUACGUUACCGAAGCCGGACUCCUUCCGCCUCUGUCGAUCUGCAGUCUUGCCGCUCCUCCAAAACACCGCCACGUAAAGCCAUUCCGGUGAGAGACAACCAGGUUCAAAGUAAGAUGCAUAUCGAACAGAAAAUCAACGAUGGAGAGAUAGGCAAAAAGAAAAAAGAGUAACCUCCGGCACCGCUUAUUGCUGGACCGGAAAAAAGAUCUUUUGCGCUUGAGAGCUUUUAAAGAGAGAUAGUUCUGUUAGAGAGAGGGUCCACUGCAUGCAAUUAUAUAUUCUUUCUCAUCAGACUUUGAUUGGUAUGGUGCUUAAAUGGGC
rnacentral:lncRNA from 1 species